CUUUGACAUGUUAUAUCUUUUCCUCCGCAGUCAUAUCGGUGUCCGUCGAAACCGGAUGUGUGAUUGCAUCGUAACCGGAAAUGACGUCAGAAUAUUGGGAUGACAUUUACCGGAAGCUGAAUGUUCUAUCAAUUUCCAACACCGUCAUUAGCCACUGGAAUUAUGUCGGGAUCCAGCAUAAACAUGCUCUUGUGGACGACAUACCUCUCACUCACGACGAAAGAAAAGAAUUGUCUGCUAUGUUUGAGGCCAUUUUGGAUAACAGGAACCGGAAGUGAAAAUUUGGAAUGGAUUGUGGGAUUUAACACUGACGUAAAAGUCUUAACGCUGCGUUAAUUAACGUCAGCAUUAA